rnacentral:rRNA from 1 species
GACAGAGGGGGCAAGCGUUGCUCGGAAUCACUGGGCGUAAAGGGCGCGUAGGCGGGAUGGCAAGUCGGUCGUGAAAUCUCUCGGCUCAACCGAGAAACGUCGGCCGAUACUGCCGUUCUUGAGGGAUGCAGAGGAGACUGGAAUUCCCGGUGUAGCGGUGAAAUGUGUAGAGAUCGGGAGGAACACCGGUAGCGAAGGCGGGUCUCUGGGCAUUUCCUGACGCUGAGGCGCGAAAGCGUGGGGAGCAAACGGG